ensembl:misc_RNA 7SK 7SK RNA
GGAUGUGAGGGCAAUCUGGCUGCGAAAUCUGUCACCCCAUUGAUCGCUAGGGUUGAUUCAGCUGAUCUGGCUGGCUAGGCAGGUGUCCCCUUCCUCUCUCAUGUCCAUCCCUCCCAAAGCUGCAUGCUCGGUCAAAGAGGAUGACUAUCUCUGAUAGAGGAGGACUGGUCUUCGGUCAAGAGUACAUGAGGAGCUGCACUACCCCACUGGAAUCUCCAAACAAGCUCUCUUUAACUGACAAAUAAAAGUUGUAUAUAUUUAUCAAGUACAUCAUUUUGAAAAAUGCAUAAAUUGUGGAAUGCUAAAUCAAGCUAAUUAGCAUAUGCAUUACAUC